rnacentral:rRNA from 1 species
UACAGGGGGGGCAAGCGUUGUUCGGAAUUACUGGGCGUAAAGCGCCCGUAGGCGGCCAACUGCGUCCGACGUGAAAUCCCCAAGCUUAACUUGGGAACUGCGUCGGAUACUGGAUGGCUUGAAUUCGGGAGAGGGAUGCAGAAUUCCAGGUGUAGCGGUGAAAUGCGUAGAUAUCUGGAGGAAUACCGGUGGCGAAGGCGGCAGCCUGGACCGACAUUGACGCUGAACGGCGAAAGCUAGGGGAGCAAACGGG